rnacentral:rRNA from 1 species
GGUUCAGGAUGAACGCUGGCGGCGUGCCUAAUACAUGCAAGUCGAACGAGAGUGCUUGCACUCUAGUGGCGAACGGGUGAGUAACACGUAGGUAACCUGCCUUACAGUUGGGAUACCCUGGCGAAAGCUAGGCUAAUACCGAAUAAUUGGAUUGGAGGCAUCUCCGAUCUCUAAAAGGGGCCUUUAAAGCCUCGCUGAAUGAUGGACCUGCGGCGCAUUAGCUAGUUGGCGAGAUAACAGCCCACCAAGGCGAGGAUGCGUAGCCGACCUGAGAGGGUGAACGGCCACACUGGAACUGAGACACGGUCCAGACUCCUACGGGAGGCAGCAGUAGGGAGUUUUCGGCAAUGGGGCAACCCUGACCGAGCAACGCCGCGUGAAUGAUGAAGGUCUUCGGAUUGUAAAGUUCUGUUAUAAGGGAAAAAUGAUAUGGUGAGGAAAUGCUCCAUAUUUGAUGGUACCUUAUUAGAAAGCCACGGCUAACUACGUGCCAGCCGCUGC